rnacentral:ncRNA from 1 species
UAACACAAUAUUCGCUCCCCCUCAACCGAGACCUAUAGGGAGGAUAAAUUACGUCUCUCAUAUCCACUAGUGAAGGGAUUAGUGGAAAUAUUAAUAUCG